UUCCAAGGAAGACAACAUGAAGAAGGAACUGAGCUUAGCGUUCCUCGUUCUGUCCAUGAUUUUCUUGUCGACAUUUUACAUUACGCCUUCUGAAGCUGAAGCGAUCCCCCCUAGAAGACGUAGGAAAGGAUAAUUAACUUCUACGCAUAACAAUGGCUUGAAGCCGGGAGGUCAUAUCACCGGCGUUUAUUGCACGCAGAUGUUGAUGUCAUUGGCACCCAAUACAAACUUAGUUUCUGAUUGAGUGUAACAAUUUACAUUAUGUAUUUUCAUUGGAUAUAAAAUUAGGUGUACAUCGGCCAUAA